rnacentral:misc_RNA from 1 species
AUAAAAUCGGAACGGCGAUCUUUUAUAAAAUCAUUGACAUUUUCAAGUAAGCGGUACGUCAGUAUGUAUUAUAUACAUCUGCCAUUCCGAGUCUGUGAUUCUCUUCUAAUAGGUUAACUUUUAUUAUAGAGGCAAACGUUGGAGUUUUUCUGGCGAGCGAAUCGGCACCGUAUGCGUCCUUAUGGCGCUUAUAAUCCAAAUACAAUAGUUUGGAAAGUCCGUAGUAGAUGUUCUCGGCGACGGUUACCGAAUCGCUUUGGGCUGUCUCGGGUUGACCGAGAACUUUGAUCCGUUUCCUGGUGACCGUCUUUGGCGGCUUCCCGGGAAACUUGGACCUUCCCAUGUUCACUUUUUUCAAC